UACGUAGGUGGCAAGCGUUGUCCGGAAUCAUUGGGCGUAAAGAGCGUGUAGGCGGUCCGGUAAGUCCGCUGUGAAAGUCGGGGGCUCAACCCUCGAAUGCCGGUGGAUACUGUCGGGCUAGAGUGCGGAAGAGGCGAGUGGAAUUCCUGGUGUAGCGGUGAAAUGCGCAGAUAUCAGGAGGAACACCUAUUGCGAGGGCAGCUCGCUGGGACGUCACUGACGCUGAGACGCGAAAGCGUGGGGAGCAAACAGG
rnacentral:rRNA from 1 species